ACCAUGCAGAUGGUUUCAGCAUAGAAGCCCUAUAUUUUAAUCCAGUGGACUCAGUUAUUCCAGAGGCCAGAACUAGAAGCAAUGAAUGGAUCUUGCGUGGAAGUAGGUUCUGGUAAACAUUAGGAGAAGCUUCCUAAAGGAAAUUAUGGCUCAGGAUCCCAAUAUCUUCUGGAACACCUCUGCUGAUAUGAACCUACCUGGACCCUUAGAUCUUCUCCUGAGGCCCUUCUCCAUGUCCUCCCUCUGCGGGAGGCUUGGAGGAUGGUGACAAGGGAGAAGGCCUUUUCAGUUGUGGCUCCCCAUCUGUGGAAGACACUCCCCAGUGAGGUCCGCCUGCUACUUUAAUUGACAUAUUUUUGGCACCAGGGUGUUUUAUACGUCUUUCCGUUAAUCAUUCAUUCAUCCCAUACUUUCCAGUACAAUUCCCCAUCACUUUCCUAACUGCAAAAAAAAAAAAAUUGUUUAAAGUUGAUUUGUUGUGCUAGAGCCACAGAGCACUUUAAUCCAUUUUAAUUGUGCAAACUUGAAACUAAAGCUAUCAGCUACUCAAGAUCCUAAGCUUCUAGGACAUGCUGAUGCUGACUGGGCUGGAGACACCAAAGAUCGUAAGUCAACCAGUGGAAACUUGUUCUACUAUGGGCAGUCACUUAUCUGCUGGACAAGUUGAAAGCAAGAGACUGUAGCACACUCAUCUACCAAGGCUGAGUAUGUAUCAGCUGAUGAGGCAUGCAAGGAAAUGCUGUGGCUACGCAAGCUUCUAAGAGACUUGGCCAUAUCUGAACCAGAGUCUAUCAGAAUAUUUGAGGACAAUCAAGCUUGCAUAAGACUCGUGGAAUCAGAAGGGCAAAGUUCUCGCAUGAAGCACAUUGAUGUGAAGUUCCACUACCUGAAGGAUAUAAGGGAGAAAGGACUUCUAGAGAUGACCUACUGUCCAACAGAAGAGAUGACAGCUGAUGCUUUGACCAAACCAUUGGGCAAAGUCUGACACCAGAAGCUACGAGGCAAGAUGCACCUUGUAGAAUGAACCAAGUUCUCGUUGAGAAGGGGUGUUGGAAUGUAUGAGGUUCAACUUGUGGGUUGAGGCUGCAUGGGGUU